UACGGAGGGUGCGAGCGUUGUCCGGAAUCAUUGGGCGUAAAGGGCGCGUAGGUGGCCCGGUCAGUCUUUGGUGAAAGCCCUGGGCUCAACCUGGGAAUUGCAUUGGAUACUGGCAGGCUAGAGUGCGGUAGAGGAUGGCGGAAUUCCCGGUGUAGCAGUGAAAUGCGUAGAGAUCGGGAGGAACAUCUGUGGCGAAGGCGGCCAUCUGGACCAGCACUGACACUGAGGCACGAAAGCGUGGGGAGCAAACAGG
rnacentral:rRNA from 1 species